AGAUGGCUAACUCAUCUGGGGUUCUGGGUGAGAAGAUAGCUCUGUGCUGUCUGUAAAUUGUGUUCACCCUCUCCUAGUUCUGCUUUUUGGCAUGGGUUUCUUAAACUUAACAUCCUUCCUUUGUGUGGGAUGGUAGUCAUUACCGCAAGAAGAAAGGAAAGCAUUCUUGUUGUGGUUUGCCCUGGAGUUAUCUGUAUUUUGAUGCUAAUUCCACUGCCCCAAGGACAUCUGCCCUGCUUGAGGGAGACCUAUAGUGACUAUUCAUUGGCUGAGGCUUUGUAUUAUCUCGGGAGGACCCUGAAAAAAUGACCUUGCCAGAAGCUUGUACCAUCUUUCAUGAGGUCUUCGUGAGUUCUCUUAUGAUCACUGACUCAAAGUCAGGGAAGAAAUAGACACCAGCAUUUCAGCUUUGCCUGGCUUGAACGGUCACAGAGGACUUGAUAAUGAAGGAUUAAAAAUUAAUAAUAAGCCGCCUAGCUACCCAAAAAGAAGAAGUAGGGUCUGUGAGAACAUGAACUUUUCACCCCUCCCUUGCUGUACAAUGGUUCCCGGAACAUUCUUGCAUGAAAAGUUUCCUGGAACAGCCACAAUGACCCAUAGCCUCCGGCCACAAUGGUCCAAUGGCCCUGUAAAAUGUCACUACCCCUAAUCACAAUGUCACAAAGUCCUGGGUGUGUUGCCUAGUGUUACACAUGACUAGCAUAUGACCUAAAUGUAUGGGCAGUUUAUGGUUUUGGAAUUCCCCUCCUCCCUCCUUCUUGAUCCCCCUGGUUUGUGGUUUUUUUCCUUUAUAAGCUCUGUGAAAAUUCAGGUCGGGGUCGAACUCCUCUACUCCCUGUGUGGCGUAUGAGUCUCGACCCCAGCAUGCUGGCCUGAGCUCUCGUUUCAUCUCGCUUACAAUAAAUCUUCCUCGUGUGAUUACAGCAGGUCGGUGUCUGUGUCCUACUGGGUGCGCGUCUUUCCCGAGACUUGAGUGGGGGGACUCCCUUCGGGGGUCUUUCAUUUGGGGGCUCGUCCGGGAUCUGCGCGACCACCCAGGGGUCCUAGACCCACUUGGAGGUAAGAUUCUCUGUUUUAUCUCAGCGCUGUGUCUGGGUCUGUGUCUAUGUUCUGUCUGGGAAUCUGGUGCGAUCGCUGUUUCGGUUUUGCGGACGCUCAGUGAGACCGCGCUCCAGGAAGGAGAGCGGGGUGGAUAGGGAUAGACGUGUCCAGGUACCCACCGUCCGUUCGCCCUGGGAGACGUCCCAGGAGGACACAAGGGGGGACCAGGGACGCCUGGUGAACCCCAUCUGAUAGGUCCAGAGGAGACUUUACUCCUUGACGACCGGUUUGUUAGGCAAGGUCUGCGACCUGCCGAUCAGUUUCAGUGCCUCUGGUCGACACGAAGUCGACGUCGGUUUUGUUUUCUUUUUUCUCUUUUGUUUGUGCUCGUGUGUGUGAGUGUGUGUGAAUUAAGUCCUGUAGUCUGUGUUUUUCGGUACCGGUUUAAGGUCUUAGUGCACUGUCUGGGCAGAUGAAGGAUUCCUGCCCUGUGCACGAGAGUCUUAGUGCACUGUCUGGGCAGAAGAAGGUUUCCUGCCCUGUGCACGGGUGGAAGAAGGUUCCCCACCCCGAAAUGGCGCCUGUGAGUAGAUGAAGGAUUCCUACUCCGAAUAGUCUUUUUCUUUCUUUUUUUCCUUUUUAGAAAGCGCACCGGGGGACGCCCCAAUCGCGCAGGCUCUGGGACUCGUGAGAGACGUUCCACGAGUCAGCCUUUGUUGGGUCCUGGCUCUGGGACGCGUGAGAAACGUUCCACGAGCCGAAUUUUGUCGGGAGGACCCGGCAACGGACAGUCAAAAAGAUCUGACUGUGACUUUGGAGGUCAUGUUCGGCUGCCUAUUUAAGUAUAGGCACGGACAAGUGUGCUUAGAUGUGUUAGUGUUUGUUGUCUGUAUUCUGUUUCUGUGUUUGGUAUCCCAGAAGCAGCUAAGGUUAAGCUGCAGUUUGGGCCAGGUACUGAAGGUACCAGGCAUCUGUGGAAAUUGGUUAUAGGAUGCUUUGUCUUGGUCUUGUUUGUCUGGAUUGUUUUCUGUGGUAUUGUCCAGUGUCUUUUUGACUUUUGUUUCGUGUUUGAAUUUGGACUGACAACCGUGUUUAAAAUCUUGGACCGACGACUGUGUUUGAAAUCAUGAAACUGUUUGCUUUGUUCGUUGAAGAGUUUUACUUGGUCCCCUUAAUGCUUAGUGAGUAAGGAACUUAAUUUUGUGGACCCCGCUCUAGUGGCGGUGUGUUGGUUGAUAGCCAAAGUUAAUUUUUAAAACAGUGUUUUAUCUGUGCUUGUGCUCGCAGCCAGCUGAGAUAAGCUAGAGAAGUGAGUAAAUAUUGCUUGGGAGCAAAGAAUCUUAAAGGCGGAGUUUCAGCCGGUAUGACACUUAGUGCGUAGCUGCCUAAAAGAUCAGAAAUACUGUUAAUAGGCUAUAAAAAAGGGACAGGCUGUGUUAGAAAUGCUACAGGAAGAAUAAUCUAAAAAGGCUGAGAGCUAGGUGGGGCUAUAAGGAAAACAAGAAUAGGAAAGGAAUUUCUGACAUUUGCUCACAGUAGGAGAGCACUCAUUUAGAGAAGUUCUUUAAGGAAGCCUGCCUUAUCUGCUGUCUUUAUUCCAAGGGAGGAGUCAGUCUCCAGCACUAAAUUACUUGGCGGUGGCCAAGGUCAGGAUUAAUGUUUUCUUUUCCUUGGCCCCUUUAAACCCAGUGAGACAGUUUGGUAAAGGGCUACUACUGAGGUCCUGAUAGCCCCAGGUGAACUGGUUACAAUUCUUUUAUCAGCCCCCUGGCAUCUAGCACCCAGGUUCUAACCAUCUCUCCAUCCUUUUGUUAUUAGUUGUUACUAGAAGCCUAGUGUCAUUUGGAGGCUGGUUCUCUUGAGAGGCAAAGCCAUGGAGCUGACACUGACAAUGGCCUUUUUGUUCCAAGAAAGGCCUCCUGGUUUAGCUGUGUGACUAAAUGCUGUUUGCCCUCUUCGGUAGACUCUAUUCUCAAGAUUCUCUUGUUUUCUCACCAUCCCAUUUGAUAUGCUUGUUAGUAACUGUUACAGGUCUUCUUUACCACCGAGGAAAGACGGAAUCCUACUAGAGGCCAAAAAAAAAAAAAAAAAAAAAAAAAAAAAAGGGUUCCAACACGCAUAGAAGGCCCUCACUUCUGCCUGCUCUCUUCAUACCCCUGAAGGUAGGGAGUGCUCCAGGUCUGCCCCCAGGCUCCAAGGGUGGGUCUCCUAGGGGCUGGAAAAUGCCCCACCAAUCUGGCUAAGAUAAAGAAAAGAUAUGAAGAGAAAGUUACAGAAACUUGAAGGGUUAAGCUAAGUCACUGAGAGAGUUAUUGUAAGUUGCAGAGAAAAUAAGUUGAUGCGUGGUUCAGGGUCUGUGCAGAAAAGUGGACAGCACCUAAUAGCUGUAGAAGAAGAUGCAGAGAGACUGAAAAGAAAGAAAGAAAGAAAGAAAGAAGGUAAAAAGAGCAGGAAGCUAGGGAAGAAAAGAGACUAAAAGAAGAGGAAGCUAGAGAGCUAAAGAGAGAUAAAAGACAAGAGAGGAACAUAUACUGGCCACAGUAGUUAGGGAACCUAGGAAGACAGUACCUGGCAACAGAAGAGAAUUCCUGGCUAAAGAUCAGUGUGCCUAAUGCAAAGAAAAAAAAAAGACAUUGGGUCAGGGACUGCCCCAGAAAGAACGAGAGGGGACACUGGAGAGCCUCUUGGUCCUAGAGUGCUGGCUAUGUACAGAGAUAGAAGGGAAGUGUGGAUACAGGGACCCAAUGCUCUGUGCUCCUAUGCCCCCCAGUGGGCCAAUAUCCAAAGACCUUGGGUACAGGGGCCUACUGGCAACAAACAAUACUUAUGGACUGCCCGAAGAACAGUGGACCUUGGCGUGGGCCGGGUAACCCACUAGUUCAUGGUCAUCCCUGACUGCCCCUAUCCCUUGCUCAUGAGAAAUUUGCUGUCCAGAAUGGCUUGUGUGGGCUGAAAUGGCUGGGUGAGGCCAUGUGUAUGCAUAUCUGCAGACUGUAUGUGGAGCUUAAGACCUGUCUCAGUGCACCAGUACCUGAUGCUGGGAGAUGUGUGACUUAGUCCUGAUCUGCCUGGAACACAUCACUCCUGCCAGCCGGGCACUAACAAUUAUCACCCAAUCCAGGACUUAAACUGUGAUAGAGUGGCUGAUGUUUGCCUUUGAAUAGAGUGUCCCAAAAGAUGGGACCACUGGUCAGUUGCCAUGGACUAGAUUCUCCACCUGUUGGGGGCAAUCUGGUCACCUUGCUGCCCAAUCCAACCUGGAGCCACCACAGCAUGAGUGUCAAGCACUGGCAGAAGCCCAUGGGUGGAGGAAAGACCUCUGCGACUGGCUGAUUGACCCCUGCUGAAAGCCGAGGACCUUGUCCACAGACGGGAACAGUUCUCUUCAUGAAUGAAGGUCAGAGACAAGUGGGUGCUGCCAUGGUGGACAACACAAUGUCAUCUAGGAUGGCUGAACCUCAACCCCCCAGUACAUCAGUGCCGCAGAUGCCUUUGCCAUCUCUUGGAUGCCCUGGUGAAGCCAACAACUGUGAGUACUAUUCAUUGCUCAGGAUAUCAGGAGGGAAGAGAUUCAGUGGCAUUGGGCAGUAACAAAGCAGAUAAAGUGGCUCGGGAAAUGGCUAUGCAGGAGCCUAUCCUGGUUGCAGGCCUGCAAGAGACAGCCACUGAGAACUAGGAUCGGACUAAGGGAUGGCCUCACUUAGAAAAGGCCCAAAUUGCUUAAAAGAUAAAGGACAAUGGCACACUUGAGGGGAAAGCUAUACUCCCCAGAGAACAAAGAAAAGACUCACUUUGCCAAAUACAGAAAUGGACUCAUUUAGGAGAUAAAAAGUUUGUCCAAGUAGUUAAGUGUAUGUAAUAGACUUUAAGAUUUUAGCCAGAGAGGCAGUAGAAAGUAUAAGGUAUGUCAAUAAGUGAAUGCUUAGCAAGCAAACAGGGCAAAGAGACCUAGAGAGUUUGGUGAAAAGUCGAAGUGAACUUCACUGAGAUAAAACCAGAAAAAUAUAAUCACAAGUAUCUCCUAGUGCUUGUAGAUACUUUUUCAGGAAUAGAUAGAAGCUUUCCUCACCAAACGAGAGACGGCCUCUGCAAUCAUCAAGAAGAUACUGGAAGAAAUCUUCCCCCGAUUUGGAAUGCCCAAGGUAAUCUGGUCAGACAACGGCCCUACUUUAGUUGCCAAGGUAAGCCAGGGUGUGGCCAAGUAUUUAGAGGUCGAUUGGAAAUUACAUUGUAUUUACAGACCUCAAAGUUCAGGACAGGUAGGGUAAAUAAAUAGAACUCUAAAAGAGACCCUGACCAAAUUAACCAUGGAGACUGGCACAGACUGGGUGACACUCCUUCCCUCUUGCUCUCUUCAGAGCAAGAAAUACCCCUUCCAGAUUCAGCCUUACCCCCUUUGAGAUCUUAUAUGGGGCCUCAGCCCCCCUGACUGUAUUAGAUGAUGUUACUGAACCAACAUGUCAUAGUGCCAUAGUAAUAAUGAUUUGUGUGCCAGGCUAAAAGACCUACAGGUGAUACAGAAAGAAAUCUGCUCACAGCUGACAGCAGCCUAUGCCCCGGAGACCCCUGAGACAUCCCAUCAGUUC